GACGAACGCUGGCGGCAUGCCUAACACAUGCAAGUCGAACGGAACUUGUUGAAUGAAGUUUUCGGAUGGAUUUUAGCAAGUUUAGUGGCGGACGGGUGAGUAACGCGUGAGCAACCUGCCUUUCAGAGGGGGACAACAGUUGGAAACGACUGCUAAUACCGCAUGAUGUGUCGAGAUCGCAUGAUCCUGACACCAAAGAUUUUAUCGCUGAAAGAUGGGCUCGCGUACGAUUAGAUAGUUGGUGAGGUAACGGCUCACCAAGUCGACGAUCGCUAGCCGGACUGAGAGGUUGAACGGCCACAUUGGGACUGAGACACGGCCCAG
rnacentral:rRNA from 1 species